AGGGCUAUCGCCAAGCGGUAAGGCACAGGACUUUGACUCCUGCAUACGCUGGUUCGAAUCCAGCUAGCCCUGUCA
rnacentral:tRNA from 1 species